rnacentral:rRNA from 1 species
CCUACGGGAGGCAGCAGUAGGGAAUCUUCCACAAUGGGCGAAAGCCUGAUGGAGCAACGCCGCGUGUGUGAAGAAGGUCUUCGGAUCGUAAAACCCUUUUGUUAGAGAAGAAAGUGCGUGAGAGUAACUGUUCGCGUUUCGACGGUAUCUACCCAGAAAGCCACGGCUAACUACGUGCCAGCAGCCGCGGUAAUACGGAGGUGGCAAGCGUUAUCAGGAUUUAUUGGGCGUAAAGGGAACGCAGGCGGUCUUUUAAGUCUGAUGUGAAAGCCUUGGGCUUAACCUGAGUAGUGCAUUGGAAACUGGGAGUCUUGAGUGCAGGAGAGGUGAGUGGAACUCCAGGUGUAGCGGUGAAAUGCGUAGAGAUAUGGAGGAACACCAGUGGCGAAAGCGGCUCUCUGGUCGGUAACUGACGCUGAGGUUCGAAAGCGUGGGUAGCAAACAGGAUUAGAUACCCUUGUAGUC